UCCCUGGUGUCUCAGUUGGUAAAGAAUCUGCCUGCAAUGCAGGAGACCUGGGUUUGAUCCCUGGGUUGGGAA
rnacentral:tRNA from 1 species